UUUACCGGCGGACGGGUGAGUAACACGUAAGCAACCUGCCCUCAAGUUUGGGACAACUACCGGAAACGGUAGCUAAUACCGAAUAAUUGUUUUCUUCGCCUGAAGGAAACUGGAAAGACGGAGCAAUCUGUCACUUGGGGAUGGGCCUGCGGCGCAUUAACUAGUUGGUGAGGUAACGGCUCACCGAGGCGACGAUGCGUAGCCGACCUGAGAGGGUGAUCGGCCACGCUGGGACUGAGACACGGCCCAUACUCCUACGGGAGGCAGCAGUAGGGAAUCUUCCGCAAUGGGCGAAAGCCUGACGGAGCAAUGCCGCGUGAGUGAUGAAGGUUUUCGGAUCGUAAAGCUCUGUUGCCAGGGAAGAACGCUUGGGAGAGUAACUGCUCUCAAGGUGACGGUACCUGAGAAGAAAGCCCCGGCUAACUACGUGCCAGCAGCCGCGGUAAUACGUAGGGGGCAAGCGUUGUCCGGAAUUAUUGGGCGUAAAGCGCGCGCANGGCGGUCAUUUAAGUYUGGUGUUUAAUCCCGGGGCUCAACCCCGGAUCGCACUGGAAACUGGGUGACUUGAGUGCARAARAGGAGAGUGGAAUUCCACGUGUAGCGGUGAAAUGCGUARAUAUGUGGAGGAACACCAGUGGCGAAGGCGACUCUCUGGGCUGUAACUGACGCUGAGGCGCGAAAGCGUGGGGAGCAAACAGGAUUAGAUACCCUGGUAGUSCACGCCGUAAACGAUGAGUGCUAGAUGUUAGAGGUUUCGAUACCCUUGGUGCCGAAGUUAACACACUAAGCACUCUGCCUGGGGAGUACGGUCGCAAGACUGAAACUCAAAGGAAUUGACGGGGACCCGCACAAGCAGUGGAGUAUGUGGUUUAAUUUGAAGCAACGCGAAGAACCUUACCAGGUCUUGACAUCUCUUUGAUCGAUGCAGAGAUGUAUCUUUCCUUCGGGACAGAGGAGACAGGUGGUGCAUGGUUGUCGUCAGCUCGUGUCGUGAGAUGUUGGGUUAAGUCCCGCAACGAGCGCAACCCUUAUAUUUAGUUGCCAGCACUUUGGGUGGGCACUUUAGAUAGACUGCCGGUGACAAACCGGAGGAAGGUGGGGAUGACGUCAAAUCAUCAUGCCCCUUAUGACCUGGGCUACACACGUACUACAAUGGCCGGUACAACGGGCUGGGAAAUCGCGAGAUGGAGCCAAUCCCAACAAAGCCGGUCUCAGUUCGGAUUGCAGGCUGCAACUCGCCUGCAUGAAGUCGGAAUUGUUAGUAAUCGCGGAUCAGCAUGCCGCGGUGAAUACGUUCCCGUGUAUUGUACUCACGGCCCGGCACGUCGUACCAAGGUAC
rnacentral:rRNA from 1 species